CGUGAAUGUUCUGUGGGUAACCAUCGGUGUAUCUAUGGAGCAGAGACUUGCGACGAAGCUGAGCUUCAUACAUCGUAUUUACUCAGAUCGUCAAAGUAGUUCAUUUUACCUGAUAAACGAUACUGACUAAACUGAAUUCUGCCGGCACCGACAUGUUUUCUUUUACGUUACUGAACCUUUCUCUGAGUUCAGACAUAAAAUUGCUGCUCAAGUGAUGCUGGAACUGUCGUUUCUUU
rnacentral:lncRNA from 1 species